rnacentral:rRNA from 1 species
UACGUAGGGUGCAAGCGUUGUCCGGAAUUAUUGGGCGUAAAGAGCUCGUAGGCGGUCUGUUGCGUCGGCUGUGAAAACCCGAGGCUCAACCUCGGGUCUGCAGUCGAUACGAGCAAACUAGAGUGUUGCAGGGGAGACUGGAAUUCCUGGUGUAGCGGUGAAAUGCGCAGAUAUCAGGAGGAACACCGGUGGCUAAGGCGGCUCUCUAGUACGGUACUGACGCUGAGACGCGAAAGCGUGGGGAGCGAACAGG